AUGCUUUGUCAAAUGUUAACCCAUGCAGCAUCAGCAGGAAGUUUACUGAUUGCUCGUUCUUGGAACCAUGUGGGAAGGACUGGGCAGCUUUUCAGGGUCGCUGGGUGCUUGUUCCGCUCCUCAUCAUCAGCUUAUGUAGUUAGAAGGAGAAUGGGGAAUGAACCAUGCCAUGCUUCAUCCCUCUCUUUCGUUGCUCUCACUAGAUGUAUCAUCCAUUCUGGUGCCCUCCAUUCCAACAGUACCCAAGAAAGUUGCGGGAAUCUGGACAAUUGCGCGAGCGGCCACUCCACGAACCACAGUAAUGCACUACUGAAACGUUUAUCGUCUCCUGAAGGUAGAAAGAUAGGAUGUGUGGGUUAUAAUUUAUAA
rnacentral:rRNA from 1 species